UCCCAGGUGACACCCUGACUCA
rnacentral:miRNA from 1 species